AGAAAAGGAUUCAGAGAAAAGAAAAAGAUGUAGAAAAGGGCGAAAUUCAAUUAUUGGAAUCUCUCAGCGAACAGCCGACGACAGCUUUAAUACUGACGAACGUAAAGCUGAACUUAACCACUGAGCGCUGAGGAGCCACAAGAGGAGACGCCUGAGCCACAGAGGAUUGAGCUAAAGGAGGAGCUUCAAGAGAUGCCAGUGUUGGAGGCGGUAAGGGUGUGCUUUCUUUGUUGAAAAGGAAAGUAACCCUGAGACCAUUGAGGAGCCACAGUUAAAGCCAGAGAAGGAAUCUGAGCUAAAACAAAAAGAUAUUGAGCAAGGAAAGGCACUUGUUGACAUGACCUCAAAGAAAAAGGCAAAGAAACAAAAUGAAAAGAAAUACAAAAAGAAAGAAGAGAGCAAAGCAGAGAAGAAAUGAAUGGAAAUGAUCCUUCCUGCUGAGGAAGUGAAGGAAUAUGGGGCCUCGGUAUUUCCUAUGCCGCUACUUGUGCCUGUGAUCCAAAAGCCACUGCUGCCCCAGAUCGUUUCCUAUUCAGUCGAAUGGGAAGCGGGGGUAUCAGUCUCCUAUGCAGGGGACUGGGGGCGGGUUAUAACUGGGGCAUCUGGGGUGGGCAGUGGCUCUUUGAUUGUCCCCAUGAGUAAUGUUGAUCAAAAUGCACUGAGCAGUGAUGAGCGAAUCUGUCACAUGACGCCUUGCUGAAAAAUGUGUGAAAUGGCAAAAAUUCUUGGAGCGUAUUGAAAUCAAUGGGGGUUUUUUCGCCAAGACUUUUUCCCCUUUUUCUAUGGGCAAAAUAUUGUGCUCAUCACUAUCAUUGAGAAAGUAAUGAGGAAGGGGACAAAGAAGAUCUAAUGAACCCAAACAUCACUUUCUAGGAACUUUCCCCAAACUCCUACGUAAAUUCAGUUAUUCUUGGAAAGAAAAGGAAGAAGUUUUCCUUCAUUGUUUUAUGUAAUGGGGGAGGGGGAUUUGAUAAAUGUACAAAUAAAAAUCUAUAAUAAUAAAGUAGCAUAAACAUGAUCAAUUUUUCCCUCCCUUUGAUAUAUUGGAUAUUCUAUUUAGAUUGAAUGUAAUUGACAGGGUGUUUUUGAAACACAUGGUGAUAAUACACAUUGCUCUUGAGUAGAGAUAAGCGAACUUGCAAA